rnacentral:rRNA from 1 species
UACGUAGGGUGCGAGCGUUAAUCGGAAUUACUGGGCGUAAAGCGUGCGCAGGCGGUUCGUUGUGUCUGUGGUGAAAGCCCCGGGCUUAACCUGGGAAUGGCCAUGGAAACUGGCGAGCUGGAGUGUGGCAGAGGGGGGUGGAAUUCCGCGUGUAGCAGUGAAAUGCGUAGAGAUGUGGAGGAACACCGAUGGCGAAGGCAGCCCCCUGGGCUGAGAUUGACGCUCAGGCACGAAAGCGUGGGGAGCAAACAGG